rnacentral:rRNA from 1 species
AUGCCCCCAUAGUUCACCACACUGGAACGGUGGGUGGAUGAAAGCUCCGGCGGCAUAGGAUGGGCCUGCGGCGUAUCAGGUUGUAGGGGGUGUAAUGUACCCUCUAGCCAUCUACGCGUACGGGUGUUGAGAGACAUCGCCCGGAGAUGGAUUCUGAGACACGAAUCCAGACCCUACGGGGUGCAGCAGGCGCGAAAACUUGGCAAUGCGAGCAAUCGUGACCAGGGAACUCCAAGUGCAUCGGGUAAGACCGAUGCUUUUCUUGACUCUUCAAAGGUCUUGGAAUAAGGGGUGGGUAAGGACGGUGCCAGCCGCCGCGGUAAUACCGGCGCCUCAAGUGGUAGUCGCUUUUAUUGGGCCUAAAACGUCCGUAGCCGGUUUGGUACAUUCGUGGGUAAAUCAAGACGCUCAACGUCUUGAAUUCUGCGAGCACGGCCAGACUUGGGACCGGGUGAGGUGUGGGGUACUCUCAGGGUAGGGGUAAAAUCCUGUCAUCCUGAGAGGACCACCUGUUGCGAAGGCGCCACACUAGAACGGAUCCGACGGUCAGGGACGAAGCCUAGGGGCACGAACCGGAUUAGAUACCCGGGUAGUCCUAGGUGUAAACGCUGUGGACUUGAUGUUGGGAGUGCUCCGAGCACCCUCAGUGUCGAAGCGAAGGUGAUAAGUCCACUGCCUGGGGAGUACGGUCGCAAGGCUGAAACUUAAAGGAAUUGGCGGGGGAGCACUGCAACCUGAGGAUUGUGCGGUUUAAUUGGAUUCAACGCCGGG